GACGUAGGGGGCCAGCGUUGUUCGGAAUUACUGGGGGUAAAGGGUUCGUAGGCGGUGUAGCAAGUCGGGAGUGAAAUCUCUGGGCUUAACCCAGAGGCUGCUUCCGAAACUGCUGUGCUUGAGUGUGGGAGAGGCGCGUGGAAUUGCAGGUGUAGCGGUGAAAUGCGUAGAUAUCUGCAGGAACACCCGUGGCGAAAGCGGCGCGCUGGACCACUACUGACGCUGAGGAACGAAAGCUAGGGGAGCAAACAGG
rnacentral:rRNA from 1 species